GGAACUCCUCACACCUAGAUCUUAUUCUGGACGUCAAAAUGGAUACUUCAAGGAAAUGAGAAGGUUGUCUACUGCACCACUGAACUUUGUGGCCAUAACAAAGGAAGACACAAUGUCAUUUGCAUCUGUUUGUGAUUCUGAGCCAGGCUCUCCUCCUCAGUGUUGAGUUAAAAACCGUGAAUGGUGACAGUGUAGAAGUUCAGCAGUUCGACACUUCAAUUUAAAGCAGUGGAAUUUUGUGAAUAUCAAAUAGAUGUACACUAGUGUAUCAUUGUGCUUUGUUAGGAGUACAUGGAGAGUGGUUACUGACAUUUGUAAACAUGCAGUCAGCUGCAAUUUGCUUUGAAGAAUAUGGGCUUCUGGAAGGGGUCAAGACACUGGUAGAUAAUAGUUUGGAAGUACUUGAUAACCUCAAGUCUUGUUUCACAAUAUAGGGG
rnacentral:misc_RNA from 1 species